AUUGAACGCUGGCGGCAGGCCUAACACAUGCAAGUCGAACGAGUGGCGGACGGGUGAGUAAUGUCUGGGAAACUGCCUGAUGGAGGGGGCUAAUAACCGGAAACGGUAGCUAAUCCCGCUUACAAUGGGAUGUGCCCAGAUGGGAUUAGCUAGUAGGUGGGGUAACGGCUCACCUAGGCGACGAUCCCUAGCGGGUCUGAGAGGAUGACCAGCCACACUGGAACUGAGACACGGUCCAGACUCCUACGGGAGGCAGCAGUGGGGAAUAUUGCACAAUGGGCGCAAGCCUGAUGCAGCCAUGCCGCUUGUAUGAAGAAGGCCUUCGGGUUGUAAAGUACUUUCAGCGGGGAGGCGUUACCCGCAGAAGAAGCACCGGCUAACUCCGUGCCAGCAGCCGCGGUAAUUC
rnacentral:rRNA from 1 species